CCUACGGGUGGCAGCAGUAAGGAAUAUUGGUCAAUGGAGGAAACUCUGAACCAGCCAUCCCGCGUGAAGGAUGAAGGGGCUCUGCCUUGUAAACUUCUUUUGUCUGGGGCGAAAAAGCUCGAUUUAUCGAGAACUGACGGUACCAGAAGAAUAAGCACCGGCUAACUCCGUGCCAGCAGCCGCGGUAAUACGGAGGGUGCAAGAGUUAUUCGGAAUAAAUGGGUUUAAGGGGUGUUAGUAAGUCAGUGGAGAAAGGCUGUGGCUUAACCAUGGAAUUGCCAUGGAUACUGCAGAGCGUGAAUGAGGUUGAGGUUGGCGGAAUGUGACAUGUAGCGGUGAAAUGCUUAGAUAUGUCAUGGAACACCGAUUGCGAAGGCAGCUGACUGGACCUAUAUUGACGCUGAGGCACGAAAGCGUGGGGAGCGAACAGGAUUAGAUACCCUUGUAGUC
rnacentral:rRNA from 1 species